AAAUGGUUUUUAUACAACGCUAAAAUCCAUCAAGAAUCUCCAUACAGAGCAUUACUCAACCUAGAAAAUCAGUCGUCUCUCAAACGUGACAGUAGCAUCACGUAAUAUUACAGGGGUCAAAUCAAACAGUAUAUAUCUUAACGACCCAUAGCUAUAUAAAAAGUGUGAUAUUAUAUGCCUUCAAGAACAUUGGAUCUACAGCUU
rnacentral:lncRNA from 1 species